rnacentral:snRNA from 1 species
UUACCACUCUGGCCUUUUGGCUUAGAUCAAGUGUAGUAUCUGUUCUUUAUAGUUUAACAACUAUAACAGUCCCAUUGGGACUCGUU